UCUAAUUGGUUUUGUCUUUAU
rnacentral:piRNA from 1 species